UACGUAGGGUGCGAGCGUUAAUCGGAAUUACUGGGCGUAAAGAGUGCGUAGGCGGCUAUGUAAGACAGAUGUGAAAUCCCUGGGCUUAACCUAGGAACUGCAUUUGUGACUGCAUGGCUAGAGUGUGGUAGAGGGAGAUGGAAUUCCGCAUGUAGCAGUGAAAUGCGUAGAUAUGCGGAGGAACACCAAUGGCGAAGGCAAUCUCCUGGACCUGCACUGACGCUCAUGCACGAAAGCGUGGGGAGCGAACAGG
rnacentral:rRNA from 1 species